CACGCCCUAAACGAUGUCAACUGGUUGUUGGGAUUUUCGGAUCUUAGUAACGAAGCUAACGCGAGAAGUUGACCGCCUGGGGAGUACGGCCGCAAGGUUAAAACUCAAAGGAAUUGACGGGGGCCCGCACAAGCGGUGGAUGAUGUGGAUUAAUUCGAUGCAACGCGAAAAACCUUACCUGGUCUUGACAUGUCGAGGAUCCUCCAGAGACGGAGGAGUGCCGCAAGGAACUCGAACACAGGUGC
rnacentral:rRNA from 1 species